UGAUUGUAAUUACUUGUAUUGUUGUCUGAGGAUGCCUGUGAUACUGCUGUUUGGGUAAAAGGCUGAGCUAAGUGAACCAAGCUGUUCACCAGAUCAUUAAGGUAAUCCUUUGCAUCUUGUAACACUUCUCACCUGUUGCAUAUAAAGCAAGGUGGUUUGAUUUAAGCAAAUGAGAACAGUUAUAUAAUACAAGCAGUCUGAUUUCAGAAAGGUUAAACCUCCACUAAAGAGGGGUGGGUUUCUUUGCUCUUGUUGAACUGAUGGGGCAGAUGGAAGCAAGUUAUGAAUGUUAUUUUAUUGCCUUGCUAAUUUUCAUUUGGAAGAACUCAAAUCAGUUAAGCCGAGAGUUGUUUCCCAGAGAAAACAAGCUGCUACUGGUUCCUGACGCUCUAAAGGAUUACACUGCAGGUGAUCCUAUGCCUGCGUCUGAAAUGACGCUGGUGCUCGAAGGAGGCGUUUUUUCCCUGGACUGCGUGGCUGGCAAGAUGCUAGAGCCGAGCAGGGAGCAGCUUCGUGGCUGAUUGCCCUGACUAGAGCCUGGGACGUGCUGCACCCAAGCCAAACAUCUGCCGGGUGCCGGCUCCAUCGCUACCACGGGUGGUGAGCAGCAAGACUGGGUGCAGGGGCUCCCCACGGCCUCCCUGCCACCCCACGGGACAGCCUGUUCCUGCGGACACGUGUCUCAGAAAGGUGCUGUCACAGCUUUUAUACAUCAGCACAAAGCUCAGGCAGCCUCAUCAAUCAUCCAGCCUGCUGCUGGGCAGCAGGUACCUUGGCAGGCGCUCUUUGCUGAAAGGGGAGAUUUCACUCAGUUUGGGCUGGUGGGAAGAGCAGUUGAUGCUGGCAGUGCAAUUGGAGGAAAAUCAUGGUCCUGUGCACACCAGGGGUGGCCAGCUCUGUCAGUAGAAAACACGAUCCCUCUUUUUGGAACAAUACUUCUGACAAGUGAACACUUUUUCACUAUUAGUUUGGAUCAUGACAGGAAAAUAAACUCUCCUGUGCAGAAGAUGUUGCUUGUCCUUCGAUUAUGUAAGUUAAUGCUUUGGCUUCUGGGCUCUCGCUGA
rnacentral:lncRNA from 1 species